rnacentral:rRNA from 1 species
AGUGAACGCUGGCGGCAGGCCUAACACAUGCAAGUCGAGCGGCAGCGGGUCCUUCGGGAUGCCGGCGAGCGGCGGACGGGUGAGGAAUACAUCGGAAUCUGCCCUGUCGUGGGGGAUAACCUAGGGAAACUUAGGCUAAUACCGCAUACGACCUACGGGUGAAAGCGGGGGAUCGCAAGACCCCGCGCGACAGGAUGAGCCGAUGUCCGAUUAGCUAGUUGGCGGGGUAAAGGCCCACCAAGGCGACGAUCGGUAGCUGGUCUGAGAGGAUGAUCAGCCACACUGGGACUGAGACACGGCCCAGACUCCUACGGGAGGCAGCAGUGGGGAAUAUUGGACAAUGGGCGCAAGCCUGAUCCAGCCAUGCCGCGUGGGUGAAGAAGGCCUUCGGGUUGUAAAGCCCUUUUGUCCGGGAAGAAAUCGUCUGGGCUAAUACCCCGGGCGGAUGACGGUACCGGAAGAAUAAGCACCGGCUAACUUCGUG